rnacentral:tRNA from 1 species
AAUUAAUAAGCUUAUAAAGCAUUUGUUUUGAAAACUUAAGAAAGAAUUAAAUUAUUCUAUUAAUUU